UACGGAGGGUGCAAGCGUUAAUCGGAAUUACUGGGCGUAAAGGGUUCGUAGGUGGCCAACUAAGUCAGACGUGAAAUCCCUCAGCUCAACUGGGGAACUGCGUCUGAUACUGGUCGGCUUGAGUGCAGGAGAGGAACGCGGAGUUCCAGGUGUAGCGGUGAAAUGCGUAGAUAUCUGGAGGAACACCGGUGGCGAAGGCGGCGUUCUGGACUGCAACUGACACUGAGGAACGAAAGCCAGGGGAGCAAACGGG
rnacentral:rRNA from 1 species